rnacentral:rRNA from 1 species
AGAGUUUGAUCCUGGCUCAGGAUGAACGCUAGCGGCAGGCUUAACACAUGCAAGUCGAGGGGUAUCACGCUUUCGGGCGUGAGAGACCGGCGCACGGGUGCGUAACGCGUAUGCAACCUACCUGUAACAGAGGGAUAGCCCAUAGAAAUGUGGAUUAACACCUCAUAGUUCUUAUUAGUCGCAUGACUGACAAGAUAAAACUCCGGUGGUUACAGAUGGGCAUGCGUGACAUUAGCUAGUUGGAGGGGUAACGGCCCACCAAGGCUACGAUGGUUAGCUGGUCUGAGAGGAUGAUCAGCCACACUGGUACUGAGACACGGACCAGACUCCUACGGGAGGCAGCAGUGAGGAAUAUGGACAAUGGGCGCAAGCCCGAUCCAGCCAUGCCGCGUGCAGGAAGACGGCCCUAUGGGUUGUAAACUGCUUUUUAUACAGGAAGAAACACUCCCUCGUGAGGGAACUUGACGGUACUGUAUGAAUAAGCACCGGCUAACUCCGU